rnacentral:sRNA from 1 species
CUCGAAUGCAGGAAAGGAUGUCACUAUAUGAUCUACCAGAAAUUUCACCACUUGAUGAGGACUCGGUAUUUCUUCCAGGAGUUUCUUCUACCAUUCCGGGGGCUUUAUCACUAGAUUCUGAAGCUUUGUCCUCAGAGUGUAAAACAAACUCCGGGUUGCCUUCACGGGGGUUUGGAAUUGCGGCUACUGUGGAUGCUGAGGUUAACGCCUCCACAAGAUUUAAUGUACCUGCUGUUCAAUAUGCCCAGCCCACCCCACAUCAAGAACUGGGGCAAUCUUGUACGGUCAAUCCGAAAUUUUUAACUCUACCCAAGG